UACGUAGGGACCGAGCGUUGUCCGGAUUCAUUGGGCGUAAAGAGCUCGUAGGCGGCUGUUCAAGUCGAACGUGAAAACUCGGAGCUCAACUCCGAGCCUGCGUUCGAGACUGGAUGGCUAGAGUCUGGUAGGGGGGAUCUGGAAUUCCUGGUGUAGCGGUGGAAUGCGCAGAUAUCAGGAGGAACACCGGUGGCGAAGGCGGGAUCCUGGGCCGAUACUGACGCUGAGGAGCGAAAGCGUGGGGAGCAAACAGG
rnacentral:rRNA from 1 species